GUGUGAGAUACUAUUUUUACUGGACUUAUAGAAGUAAAAUAUAAGUCGGGAACCACUCGUGCGGAAAUCGAAGCGAGAACAGAAGAUUUUGAAUUUUCUGUGUGAUCGAGGCUGUUAUUUUAGCAGAAAAUGCACAGUGUCAGAAAAUUUCGAAAAUCUGGGAAUAUGUCAGAAUUAUUUUUAUGAGGCUAGAUUUAAGGUUUCAUGUCAUUCUGACACCCAGAAGGCGAAAAAUAAAAUCCGACAGUUAUCUGAUAAAGAUUACAGUUCGGUACAGCAUUCGGUGACCAAACGGGGUCGAAACUGAAAGAUUAAAAUUUCUUUCGUUAAGUAAGGUUAGACCGAGCAUGACUGCCAAAUUUGAGCUCAAUCAGACGUUCAGAAGGGCAGACGAAAAAUAUCUGUACCUGAGCUACAAUCUGAUGUGAAUAGUGUUUUGGGAGUAUAUAUAGGUGAACUUGCACUCUUUUUUCUCAUUUGUGCCCA
rnacentral:lncRNA from 1 species